UUCGCAAUGCCCGAAAGGGUGACGAAGCGACGCCGCGUGUGGGAAGAAGGCCUUCGGGUUGUAAACCACUGUCGGGAGUUAAGAAAUACAAGGAUAUGAAUAGUGUCUUUGUUUGACUAAGGCUCCGGAGGAAGCCACGGCUAACUCUGUGCCAGCAGCCGCGGUAAUACAGAGGCGGCAAGCGUUGUUCGGAAUUAUUGGGCGUAAAGAGCACGUAGGCGGCUAUGUAAGUCGGUUGUGAAAGCCUUCCGCUCAACGGAAGAACAGCAUCCGAUACUACAUGGCUUGAGUGCGGGAGGGGAGAGUGGAACUUCUGGUGGAGCGGUGAAAUGCGUAGAUAUCAGAAGGAACGCCGGCGGCGAAAGCGGCUCUCUGGCCCAUAACUGACGCUGAGUGUGCGAAAGCUAGGGGAGCAAACGGGACUAGAUACCCCGGUAGUCCUAGCCGUAAACGAUGGGCACUAAGUAGAGGGGUUUU
rnacentral:rRNA from 1 species